GACGAACGCUGGCGGCGUGCUUAACACAUGCAAGUCGAACGGAAAGGCCCUGCUUUUGUGGGGUGCUCGAGUGGCGAACGGGUGAGUAACACGUGAGUAACCUGCCCUUGACUUUGGGAUAACUUCAGGAAACUGGGGCUAAUACCGGAUAGGAGCUCCUGCUGCAUGGUGGGGGUUGGAAAGUUUCGGCGGUUGGGGAUGGACUCGCGGCUUAUCAGCUUGUUGGUGGGGUAGUGGCUUACCAAGGCUUUGACGGGUAGCCGGCCUGAGAGGGUGACCGGCCACAUUGGGACUGAGAUACGGCCCAGACUCCUACGGGAGGCAGCAGUGGGGAAUAUUGCACAAUGGGCGGAAGCCUGAUGCAGCAACGCCGCGUGCGGGAUGACGGCCUUCGGGUUGUAAACCGCUUUCGCCUGUGACGAAGCGUGAGUGACGGUAAUGGGUAAAGAAGCACCGGCUAACUACGUGCCAGCAGCCGCGGUGAUACGUAGGGUGCGAGCGUUGUCCGGAUUUAUUGGGCGUAAAGGGCUCGUAGGUGGUUGAUCGCGUCGGAAGUGUAAUCUUGGGGCUUAACCCUGAGCGUGCUUUCGAUACGGGUUGACUUGAGGAAGGUAGGGGAGAAUGGAAUUCCUGGUGGAGCGGUGGAAUGCGCAGAUAUCAGGAGGAACACCAGUGGCGAAGGCGGUUCUCUGGGCCUUUCCUGACGCUGAGGAGCGAAAGCGUGGGGAGCGAACAGGCUUAGAUACCCUGGUAGUCCACGCUGUAAACGGUGGGUACUAGGUGUGGGGUCCAUUCCACGGGUUCCGUGCCGUAGCUAACGCUUUAAGUACCCCGCCUGGGGAGUACGGCCGCAAGGCUAAAACCCAAAGGAAUUGACGGGGCCCCGCACAAGCGGCGGAGCAUGCGGAUUAAUUCGAUGCAACGCGUAGAACCUUACCUGGGUUUGACAUGGAUCGGGAGUGCUCAGAGAUGGGUGUGCCUCUUUUGGGGUCGGUUCACAGGUGGUGCAUGGCUGUCGUCAGCUCGUGUCGUGAGAUGUUGGGUUAAGUCCCGCAACGAGCGCAACCCUUGUUCACUGUUGCCAGCACGUUAUGGUGGGGACUCAGUGGAGACCGCCGGGGUCAACUCGGAGGAAGGUGGGGAUGACGUCAAGUCGUCAUGCCCCUUAUGUCCAGGGCUUCACGCAUGCUACAAUGGCUGGUACAGAGAGUGGCGAGCCUGUGAGGGUGAGCGAAUCUCGGAAAGCCGGUCUCAGUUCGGAUUGGGGUCUGCAACUCGACCUCAUGAAGUCGGAGUCGCUAGUAAUCGCAGAUCAGCAACGCUGCGGUGAAUACGUUCCCGGGGCU
rnacentral:rRNA from 1 species